UACGUAGGGUGCAAGCGUUGUCCGGAAUUAUUGGGCGUAAAAGAGCUCGUAGGCGGUCUGUCGCGUCGGCUGUGAAAAACUCGGGGGCUCAACCCCCGAGCCUGCAGUCGAUACGGGCAGACUAGAGUGCUGUAGGGGGAGACUGGAAUUCCUGGUGUAGCGGUGAAAUGCGCAGAUAUCAGGAGGAACACCGGUGGCGAAAGGGCGGGGUCUCUGGGGCAGUAAACUGA
rnacentral:rRNA from 1 species